UCACAAAUAAACACGAACACGACGUGCAAGUUCCAAUGCAUUCUUAAUUAAUUAUUAAACUGUGGAAUAAAAAUCAACUCUAAAGAUAUACAAUAAAUAAAGUUAUUUAAGUGCCCUUUGUUUUAUAAUUUACAGUGAGUUAUCGCGUCGAAAAGUUACUUAUUUACACUCAAUUGGAGUAAUUAUGAGAAAUUGAAUUCCAAACUAAAUCUAAACUAUUAAACUACGGUAUACAACAAAACUUCCCAAGCCAGAGAUUUUUUAAAAGAAUGUGGGGGAACAUGGCUAGUUCUCUGAAAUCCUAUGGCGAUGGGUCUAUUAAAGACGGAAAAGGAUGGUGCAAAGUUGUCUACUCAACAGACAUGAGGAGGACCAUGUAAAGUGAAGCCCUUGACGGAAAUUGAAAAAAAAAAAAACAAUUUUGCAUGUUCUCAGUGAGGAUUUUGGAAUGGGGAUGGCUGGAAAUUUGGAUGGAAUCAUUUCCAUUGGAGAACAAUUGGAAAAUCUGAGAGUCGAGGAGAGCACAGUCAUUAGGUGCUCAUACUUCGCAGCCUUGACCAUCAUCAAGAUAUACACCUACACCAGUUUAUUGAACACCCUUUAUUCCUACAAAUCCCGAAACCCCGCAUAAUCCUAGAUGUACUACUUCCUCGCUCUACCCUCCAACAGCGAAGACGUAAUCUAGAUCUUACCCAAGAAGCUUCACUGCAAGCUGUCAUUGGGUUCAUGAAAAAAACGUUGGAGGCGAAGUUUCAGUCGCUAAAUUCUUUAGUGAACGAAUGGAGCGAAAUAAGAGUUUUUCAAGUCAAUGUAACAACAUUAUUUAAUAAAUUAAUAUAAAAUAUACAUUAGGUCUAACAUAAAUCAUACACCAUCAAAAGAAACAUUUAAAAGAAGAUCCCAUAAAAACUAAAUCUAACAGACACAGCAAGCAACUUAUCAACAUCAGUGAGUAAAAACAUGGGUGAAUAAUGUAUUUCCUAACUUCUAGGUUUGACAAACAUCUCACAACUUGCUAAGAAAUUGUUCCAAGUGGCUACAUCUUGUUGAGGCUCUCGGUUAUUGGUUGGACUGCUGAUGCUUCCAGAGAA